CUGAAAGUUCUCCACUGGACUUCUGGACUUCCACAGAGUCACUUCACCAUGAAUGAUUGUCUUGAGAAAGGGCACUGAGAGUAGCUAAAGCCAGGACAUAAGCCACUGCUGGGACCACAAACAAGACUGAGUUCUGGCUGAGACUUCAGAUUCCAAGAAGAAAACAAUAGCAAGCAAGUGCUUCCACAUUCCACACUGAGCUGGCCUAACCAUUUGACAAGCCUGCGUGACCAAUUAAAUGGCCAAUAGAAGCUUCUCACGGAACUGUCCUGAAGCCAAAAUUCCUUGCACAGAUCAAGCUUGAUCAAGAUGAAGACAGGAUGAUACAUGUGUGAUACAGACAUAUGAAUAGUAGCCCUGGGAAAUCUGUUGUGGAAUAUCUUUCAGACACCUGUUGCUUGCUUCCAAUCUCUUUUUGCUUUUGUACCUUAUUCUUUGCCUCUAAGUAAUAGUCUCACAUUUGUGUUCUCUGUGGCGUCUGACUGAAUGCUUUCAAAUAUCCACAGUGGGAAAAAAUCUUUGCAACCUGACAAAGGGCAUAUAAGAAAUACUAAUAGUUUAUACUAAUGGUGAAAGACUGAAUGCUUUACCUCUAAGAUUAGCAGCAAAGCAAGGUGAUACAUUUUCAUUAUUUCUCUUCAACAUUAUACUGGAGAUUCU